AAGGAUACAUACUGGGACAUCAUCUGCGUACAAGCGUCAGAAGAGGAUGCAAAACCGCUCCAGACUGCCUUGGGUGGGGGGAAGUGAAAGGUGAGACCACAGCAGCCGAGGACUGCGAUGCUCACCGUGCUGCUCACUGCCGUACGGCUGAGGAGCUGGAAGUCCCGAGAGGGAUGCCCGGCUGCCAUGCCCGCAGGCACUGCGGCCGCCGCGUCGCAGCAGCUCUGAGCUUCUCCCCCGCGGGCUGAGCUGCGACCACUGCAGUGCUCAGGCCCCAAAUAGAGGAAAAGUCCAGUGCUGCCUCAUCUGUUUGAAUGGUUAAGCCUUCAUCCCCUACUUUGACUUUCAGGCUGGAAACAGUAUAUAAAGGCAACAGAUAGGUGAAUCUGAACCCAGGAAAACUGAAAUCUUUCCCCUUCUCCGUACAUCAGAGGUCUCCUAGACUUGUCUGAUCACAAACAGCUUUCAAAGAAUUCCACUGUUACUUUAACUGCAUCUGCCGUCUGGAUUAAAAGCUUCCAUCUCAGCAACCUCUGAAUGGCGACAGGUUUGCAACAGCUGAUCAUUUUGAUUGAACCCUGUGUCUCCAGAAUUCAGUUUGCACAAAUACACAGUGUGCGCAAUUGCACUGACUGCCGCCCUCCAUAGUCCGCCCACUGAAUAAACACUAGUCUGUGACUCACAAAAGCACUCUGGUCUCCGACUGCUUUUCUGGUUCCACAUGUCAUUUCAGAAGGACAACAGCUGUUACGGGUGGAAAUAACGAAAGACUGCUUCUAAGGAGACAUUUCCAUUGCUGCUGAAGGACAUAAGCUUCAUCACUUCCAGUGCUCAAAAUCACAACUGCUGUUACCUUAAAGAUAAGCACAGACUGAAGAAGAAUCUGUUGCUUCCAGAUGUCAGGAUCCCUCACAGGACUUGCCGAUUCCCAGCUUGCACCAUUAAGAAGCCCUCAUGUUGGAGUCAUUAGAGAGUACCACCAAGCAAGAGAGCCAAUAUCAAAGUAAAUUUCUAUUUGCUGUGCACUGGCAAAAGCAGCAAGGAUUCUGGUUACUUAAGUCUUGUUUGGGUCCCGCAGGAAAGCGAAAUGCAACACAUGAAGAACAGGGAGCUAACGUACCAUCACUCUCUCCGACCGUCUCUCGUCUCAGGUAACAUGCAAGACAUCAGCUCUCCCUGCUCUGUAAUCCGGGCUGCUCCCCAGAAGGCCGUUGUCAAACUACAAAUCAUUUACCGUGCCAAGUCUCGCCAGCAGGGAGCAUGCAGUAUUUAGGAAACCUAUCAGGAAACCUAAGCAAAGUAUCAAAUAAAAGACGAAUGAUGUAUUUUUAUCUCUCCCAUUCCACUUCAAAGCAAGCACCACUGAGUCAUUUUCCAAUUUAGAGCACACCGAAUGUGGCCUCCAUAUUUCUGUACGACAAAUACAUCCACCUCCUCUGCUUGGCAAUAGGGGAUACAAGGAGGGCAGUGCCAAAGCCUUUUAGCCCAGUCAGCAGGGGUGAGCCCCAUCUUAUCGAUGCAGCUAUGACAAUGCACAUCUAUGUAUCGCAGGCACUUUAAAGAUGCUGGUCAUCCUGGCCUGCACUCUCCCUGUCAGGUGUGCAUACAAAAUAGGUAUUUUUGAAAUACAUUCACAAAUGUUGUCUGAAGCAGAAUUUUUCUUUGGCUGUCAGAAAAGAGCAGCUGGAAAUGAUCAAUCUCUGUCUCUCUCCACCUUGCCCCAAAUGGUGAGCAUGUCCUCAGGCACAAAUUCACCUUUUCAGACAAAUAUAUUGAAAUGAAAAAAAUAUUUUUGUAAACUUGCUAAAAUGAGAUGCUGGUGGGUUUUCCCGAGAAGAAAGCCCAGGGAGGGGAAAAGGACCCGUUCUUUCUAGGAGUAAAAAACACAAACCAUUUUCAUUAUUCCCUUGUUAAAUGCACAGCAAAGUUUCAGCCCCAUCAAGAAUCAGACGCUCAGUCCUAUGGCCCCAGUACAGUAAAUAUGUGAGCUUAGCUUCGUAUGCAACACACUUCCAAUGGCCUUAGUGGGUAUUCAUAGAUAGCCAAGAUUCAUAUACAUGAGAUUCACAUAUAAAUUCUUGCAGGAAUAAGUGAUGCACCUCUAAGCGGAAGCAUUACCAGUCUGGGAAAAAUGCAUAAGCAAUGAUAAGCACUUAAAAUUAGCCUAGCUCUCAUUCUCCACCAUCCCCUGUCCUUAACACAAGAACCAGUGAAUCAAUCAGUAGGAAAAAAACAAUCAUCUGAAGUGAGUAAAAAAGCUACAUUCAGAAGGCAAUAUUGGCAUGCUACCAAAAGCUCAAGCCUUGAAUGCAAUUUGUAUACAGCUGUGUUUUUCCCAGAGAGGCUCAUUUUUGGCAAGAAGGUGUGUCCUGGAGACACGCUGGUUCUGAGCGCGCAACGCUCCUCGUGCAGGCAGGGUGUGACCGCCGAAGUAUUUUGGUUUGGAUCAGGAGUGUGCUUUUGAAGUGACUCUCCCAGUCAUCCCUGUAGACUCCGCUUUGGUUUUCAGAGUGCUCCCACUGGAUUCCUUUUGGAUGAAACUAGAAACAGAAGAUGCACUCCAGGAGCACACUUAAUGCGCUCAGCUGCUGCUGGGUGUUGAGUCCGUGGGACCAAAGCAGAGGUAGCUCAAAGAAAAUGCUCCGAACACAUCUAGUGUGGACGUGGGGUCCACAGCACUGACAGUUUUGCUUUACAGACACCCUCCUACUGUGUCAAAUGACUCAUGUAAUGUAAAUGUAGCUCCAGAUUAUAGUGUCCUGUAGCAUGAUACCAGAGAUGGAACUGAAGCAGUUCAAUCGUAUAUAGCUUCUCAAUAACCCUGUAGCAUUGACAAGGAGAAUCCAUUAACCUGCUUAUUCUGCAAUAAAAACAGAAGUUACCUAUUUAACAAAUAAAUAUCAUAUGCAAUAUAAUCUAGAAAAAUAAUGAUUCAGAAGAAUGAACAGUUUUUCAAGAUGGAAUUGAUAUUCUAAAAUGUAUUAGCAAGUACCAGAAGAGCCGGUUUCCCAACAGCAUUUAUUUAUGGUUCUUAAAGUUCAAAUGUGUAUGCACAACCUAGGAUAUAAACACAGCACUGACGGCAAAUCCUACAGAAUUUCCUGAGAAUGAAUGCUAACUGUUAUAUAACUGCUAUAUAACUUAUAUAACUUAUAACAACUGCUAAUUUCUGUGUAAUGCUAUUGGAAUUGAUACAACUUCUGCAGAAUGAGGAGGAGAAAUAAAAAUCAAGAUCUUCAAAAGAUUCUGAAUGUAAAAAUGACUGCUUCAUUUAAGCUCUUCCAUGUUACUUAUUAAACACCGAGGUUCAGAGCAAUCGAUGAAGACGACUGUAGCAUCCAGUGCUAAUACUUCCCAGUAGACAAGGCAUGCAUGUACUGAGCCAUAGUUACUGUUCAAGUGCAGUUUCCACCUACCACAGGGGAUAUUCAGCUCACAGCAGCCUUUGCCCUUUAAGCACAUCACAUUAGGUAUUUUCACAGUGAACAAGAUCAUUAACUUUCAGCUUCGUAUGUGACCAGAAACCCGUGAAAAAUUAAAUUAGGUCUUUCAAUUAAAAAACCUAAACACAUACAGUGGGUUAGUCCCAAUAGCAAGGACCUCCAUUUCUUCUCUCUUGCAUAAUGGUAGUUUCUCUUCAUUUCUUCUGAAGAGUCUUGAGGAAGAAAAGGCUGGUUUUAACGGCUAGUUUGGCCGCUGAGUGAACUGCAGGGCCUAACGGUGUUAAAUCCUAUCCAGAGUCAUCUGAGUGCAGCAGCAACACAGUCCUCAGCAAAGUCUGCUCCAAGCAAACUUGGAUGCACUGCUUCACCAGGUUGUUUUGCCCAGACAAAUUGCCCUCAGAAAUUGUAUCUUUUGGAGUAAUUCUGUCAUU